GAAAAGGAAAAGAAGAAAGGAAAAAGAAGAAGAAAAGAGGUGAUAUUUGUACGAAUUGGAGCUCAAGUUUGGGGAUUUCUUCAUUUCCAAUUUCAGCUAGGCGGUGGCGAGGAAAUUGGAAACGUUUAUCAGCCAAUCUAGCUUGUAGCUCAUACCUUGUGAGUGGAUAAAACUUAUUUUUCAGAAAUAAGUAUUCUUUAAUUUUUAAAG